CGGGGCGAGGCGGCGAUGGCGGCGGCGGCGGCGGCGGCGGUGGCGACGGCGACGCGGGGCUGGCGGUGGCUGAUCGUAUAUGCUAAGAAGGACAUAAAACUGUUAGCAUCCAAGGAAGGGUAACAAAGAUGUGGAAGGGUCUGGAGGACAAGACAUGAGGAGCAGCUGAGGUCCCCGGGUUGUGCUCAGAGCAGCUGAGCUAAUGGCGGCUGCAGCUCCUCACAGCUCUGCUCUGUGUGACAGCGACAGGGCCUGAGGGAACGGCAUGGAGCUGUCAGGGGAGGGGCAGCUGGGGGUCAGGGAAAGGGGCUGCACCAGGGGGUGAUGGGCAUGGAAUGGGCUGCCCAGGGCUGUGGGCACAGCCCCGAGUGCUGGAGUUCACAGAGCAUUUGGACACUGCUUUCAGACAUAGGGUUUGGAUUUUGGUGAUCCUUUGUGGAGCCUGGAAUUGGACUCGAUGACCUGCCUGAUUCCCAGCAGAUGUCACAGCCUGUCAGCAGUGGGAACUGCCUGUCCCUCAUCACCCGUGCAGCUUUGGAGCCCAAAGGGCUGCCACGCAGGUGCAGUCCACAAGCUCUGGCAGGACCUGAAUUUGGGGCAGCUAAGCGGUUGCUGACCUGAGCUGGAUGAAGAACCAGGAGUCCUUGCUCACAUUUCAGCUGGACAGCCAUUUAGCUGUGUGCAAUGCAGACAGAAAAGACAGGGAUGACUUCAAACUUUGGCAAUUGAUGCACCUGUUGGUUGGAUUUCAUUAGCAGCUUUGUGGUCUGUAGCAGGAGCUAGCAGGCGCUCUGGGUCUGGACAUCAGUGCAUGUCCUAUGGCUGCCACUUUUGUGUCUUUACGAAGAUGUUGCUGUCCUUGCAGUGCUGCUGUGAGAAUGCUGUUGGAGUAUUUGUGCUGUUAGCAGGAAGAUGAAACUGACGGUGCUCAGAGCAUUUACAAUCUGUUUUUGCUCACUUGUGAUUUUCCAAGGCCUUUUGGGCUUCCCCUGCUUUGGAAAGAUUUUUUUCUUGGAAAAAGUUUUUUAAAACUCCUUUCAGCUAUUUUGAAGUAAUAAAUUCAGCUGUUUUUUUUUUUUUUUUCUAAUUGCUGGAGGCGUUAAGUGUGCUUUUACAAGCAAUAUUGCAGUAAGGCAUUGCAUAUGAAAACUUUUUUCACCACAGAUCUGUGUGGAGGGUUCUCUCUGCGCUUAGUGUUUUUGAUGCAAAAAGAACAUUGCACCUGGUUGCCCUCAGCUAUCUGACUGCAAGUGUGCUUCCCCCAUGAACAAGAGGGCCUUUUACAUCUGUUCCUUUACAUGGCAUGUUUUGGUCAGAAGCAUACCCACGUGCCUGCACCACGUCAGUCGAAAGUGACAUUGCUAACCUCGCAUCUUGGCGGAGUGCUGCAGAGUAUGGAAUGCACGAUGUGGAUGUGUACAGCUUUGGGAGUGCUGCUGGAGGAGUGCUGCUUCUGCUGCUGUGCCUCUAAAUGAGCGUGAUGGAUUGCUGUGGUGUGGUGAGGCUCACCGAGUGUCUUCUCGGAAGGUAAUAGAGGAUUAAUGAUAAUUCCUCGUCACGUCUCGCUCAGGGACUCUGCGUAUGUCAUCUACAAUUUCUGCCCUUGGAACAGAAGAUAUUUUGCAGAAUUGGGAGUUUCUUCUGUUGUCUCCAGUUGCUAUCUUCUCUCCCAGGAUCCUGCUGCUGUUUCAUCUUGUAUCUCACAGGACAAGUUUGAGUCUGCUUGGCAAAUUAGUCUUGAUGAUGCUUUUCAUGGAUUGGACGCUGGAGGGUGCUAAUGCAAUGAGAUCUGAAAUUGUUUCAGCAAAUUAAAGGGUUCCCCUUUGUUACUUGUGAAAUAGUUCUAUUCUUUGUUGCAACAUUUAAAUGGGAAGACAUCAUCUGUGGUCCUCACUGGCAGCUGAUCUUGCUCAGUGUGUGUAGUGCUCUAACCAAGCAUGUCAAUAAAGCAUUAAGUCUGUGAGGGAUUUCUUUCCUGAACCUUUGUAAAAAAUAAUAAUAAUAAUAAUAAUCAUUCAUUUUGUACUCAACGCAUUUUUAAGUGUGUCUUUCAAGAUUAUGGGCUUGGGAUGAGUUUUACUGACUUUCUAGUGAAUGAUAAGAACGCUCUAUGAGGCAGAACUGUUGAGAAACAUCUACAAAACCUGUUUUUCUAGAAAGUGAUUUUGGUUCACUGAAACUAGCAUGGUCACAUUGCUGGCUAGGUGAGCACCUGAUCGUGGCUCGUGUGCUGAGGAGGAGAGGGGUGGCUUGAACACCACUGAUGGAGUCCCUCAUGCUGUGACCCUCUGUCUGGGGAUCAACCUGAUUGAGCUCUCUAACAUCAAGCUUUGGGGUGGCUAUAUGUAUCAUAUAUGCACCAUACUUGCUUAAAGGUGUUCCUGCUGGCCUAACAUUAUGCUGAGCCUAUCUCUGCUCUCCUGUGCAGUUGGCAGAAAGAUGCCAGCUCCCUGGUGUGUGCUCUGGCAAUUCCAUACCCAGUAUUAGGGACUGCUUGAGCCAGUUAUUGUCCUGGCAGCAGCAGAGGUACGAUGCUGUCUAAUUAAUGCUAAUGAGAAGCAGGGUGCAAAGCCAAGUGUGUACAGCUGAUCACCCCUGGCACCCCAACAAGUCUGCUUAAAGCUGUCUCAGUCCUCAGCGAUCCUUCAUGGCCCUCCACCUGCCUUUGUGGAACCAUUAGCAAAAUGGGAGCUGCCAGUUAUAAAGUGUUUGAGCAAAACAGGUUUGUUGCAAAUACGCUUUCGCUAGAGAUCUUUCUCACAAGGUGUGAGUGAAUUACUGCUGUAUCUUGUUCCCCUUUCCAACGCAUUGCUCUGUCUUCUCCAGGAAAGCAUUACUUUGUGUUUGUUCUUUCGCAGGCGUUGCAGUGUGCUUACAUACAGACUGGUGCAGUUUUUCCUUCCUUCUAGAAAUACGCAGCAGUUUUUCUCUUGAACAGAAGAUGCAGAUGGGCAUGGAGAAAAGAGCUGUGUGUAAGGGAACCGGGUUAGGUCCUGCUCUGGCACUGUUUGAGAUACACUUGCUCACCCAGCAACACAGCCGGCGUGGCUGGUUACGCCGCUUGGCAUGAUGUCAAGAACCGAUACGCUAGCAGUGGUGCCAAAAGGAUUUGCAGUUGUGCAUUUCAUGUGGGCUGCGGCCUAAUUUAUCCUGAGAGACCCGUGACUGGCAGAGAAGGUUCACGGGCCUUAUGCCAUAGGCACUCAACUGCACGGCGUUGCGUUUAAGUGCUGCCAACUGCUGGCUGCUGAACUCAAGGCGCAAAGCCACCCCUUGAUGGGAGGGGAGCGGGCCGUGCCUGGGCUGCCCAGCACGUCGCUGAGUGCAGCCUGUCUGCUGCUCACGAAAGCCGUGCGAGCGAGCUCUGCGCGGCUCUGCUGCCUUAUGCGACAACGAGCUGCUGGGCUGGAGGCCUCUGCGAUCAGGGGUUGCUCAGGCCGGGGGAAAUGCCCGUGCUACUGGAUGUUCCUGAGGCCGCCUGCCUUGCCUUCUGCCCUCUGCUGCCGUGGGCAGGGCGACCACGCCUGCUUCCUUCUCUGCCAUUUUAAUUAAAAAUGGUUGGCAUCGGGGCUCUGCAGCAAUGAAAGGGAAAUGAUGGAACUUUGAAGAAUUUGGGGCAUAAAGUCGAUCUCUAAAUUUUAAUGUACUCAUUGCGUUCAAACAGUUAAUAGAUGCGUUUUAUUAUUGGGCUUUCAGGUGACCUAAUUUCCCUUAGUACUGUACAUUUAGCUUUAUACAUCUGCACCUAAUUUGUAAAAAAGGACUUAAUGAGAAACUUCAAACAGUUUAAAUGUCAAUUACAAAGCAAGAGAGGUUUUAAGGUUCCAGUAAUCUGUCCAUAUUGGUCAUCGAAACAUGAUCCCAGGUGGAUGUUAAUUCAAGACAGAUGGCAUUCCAAAGGCACAAUUACAAAGAGCUUAUAUAUUUUCAACACUAACAAGCUGUCACGCUACGUUGUAGCUACACUUCCAAUACUGUAUUACUACAAUUACUGCUUUAUCUGGUGUGGACUUGGUAAUAAAGGGGUUUGAUUCCCCACUCUUGAGUUGUCAGUGGGAUUUCUGAGGUGAACUGGAGAGUGGGGUAAGGUAGAGUGAAUAUCUUUCAUUUGGUCAUGCUGCUGGGUUAUUUUGUUUGAUUGGCUGGUGGUUUGGUUGUUUUGGUUUGGUUUUUUGUUGUUUUUUUUUUUUCUUUUAAGUUGGUGAAAUGCUAUUCAAAGGAAGGAGGGGGAAUAUUGCAUACAUGCACAACAAGACUAGCUCAUCACAGAAGGAUUUCUAUUUCCUGGCAACAAUAAUUAGCAUUAGUCUUAUCAGCUGCUAGGAAAUAGCUAUGACGACCUGUUGAAACCCACAACAUCCUGGAUGUUUUCACUUAAAAAGUCAUCUGAAAGCUUUUGGAGCAAUGCAUGUGUUACUUGGAAAACUGAAGUCAAAGGGAUUGAUUGUGACUUUACUUGCAAUGGUGUCAAGAGGGAGCAGUUCCACCACAGCUGGGCAGAAGCAGUACACCCAGAGCAAAAUCAGGUUUGAAUUAUUUGUAGGUUUCUAAAAGGGUGAUUAGGGCCAUAGGCAGAGAAAGAGGGGCUGAAUGAUACAGGCUAAACGCAGGACUUCCCUUAGACCUAAGCAUCAGCCUGUGGUAGACAGCAGGAUCUGGUGUGAAAUGUUUGAUCUACGUGUCAUAUUUUAGGUGGACAGGGAUCUGUGUAACUGAUCAUAGCUAUGUGAAACACAGUAGUAUGUAAUUUCCACUAAUUUGUUUGUUUGUUUCUUGAAACCAGGUCAUGAAAAAGCCAGACUUGCACUGCUCUGCCUGGAUAGUGUUUUAAUAGGCUUUAAAAAUUCUACACUUUUAGGAGCAAGAUUAAUAAUUCUCCCCAGGAAGGUUUUUAAGCUCCUGUGGGUGCGUGUAUUCUUUAAAGAGGUUCUGAGAGUGAAGGGCUUACACGUCUGCUAAUUUAUCUACCUUUCACUGGAAAGCAGAGCAGGAAGCAGGAAGGCUGUGAUGCUUCAUCCUCAGAGUGCUGGAGUUAAGUGGUGAGGUUUUGCUUUUUAAUUUUUGCUUUCAGUUAAAGAAUGCUGCAGAUGUGUUUUCUGAAAGUACCUUGCUUCCUUUUUGGAGGAGAUGCAAGUGUUGUUUGAAAUACGCAGCUCGUCAAUAAGUGAACUGGACUCCUGAGCUACGCUUGAAACAAAAUGCCAAUUUUACCUACAGUUUUACUAGGUUUCCUGGUUUAUACAGUGGCAUUUCAAUGGCCUCUAGUAAUUGUUUUUAGCAGGAAAAAAAAAAAAAUCAAACAAAAAUGAAAAACACAACCCAAAGCUCAUUAGCACAGAAUUUGGCAUGCCUUGAAUCGUUAAAUCUUUAUAUAAAUGCAGAAGUAAUUUGUAGCAAACAAAGUCCUUUAUUUUUUUUCGGGAAAGGCUUUCUUUUGAAUUUUCAAUUCUGGCUGCUGAGGUCCAGGUUGUUUUCCAAACGUCAAGUGUGAAUUCAAGAACAGAGGAGGAACCAAUUCAUGUUUUAAUUAAAUGUUAUGUGCGAUUCUUGAGUGUCAAAUAUACUAAUGGUGAUAAAUGAGCAAAAUUGUUUGGAAAACAAAAGGUAAUAAGAGAAUGCUUAGAUGAGUUUUUACAUCCAUGUAUUUAACUCAAAUUCAACACCAGCAGUGUUGCUCUCAAGUGUUUU